GUCUACGGCCAUACCACCCUGAACGCGCCCGAUCUCGUCUGAUCUCGGAAGCUAAGCAGGGUCGGGCCUGGUUAGUACUUGGAUGGAAGACUAAAAAUCCAAGGGGCUAUGUCCC
rnacentral:rRNA from 1 species